GACGAACGCUGGCGGCGUGCCUAAUACAUGCAAGUCGAGCGAAUCUUUAGGAGCUUGCUCCUGAAGAUUAGCGGCGGACGGGUGAGUAACACGUGGGCGACCUGCCUGUAAGACUGGGAUAACUUCGGGAAACCGGAGCUAAUACCGGAUAAUCCUUUCCUUCACAUGAAGGAAAGCUGAAAAACGGUUUCGGCUGUCACUUACAGAUGGGCCCGCGGCGCAUUAGCUAGUUGGUGAGGUAACGGCUCACCAAGGCGACGAUGCGUAGCCGGCCUGGCAGCGUGAUCGGCCACACUGGGACUGGGACACGGCCCAGACUCAUACGGGAGGCCGCAGUAGGGAGUCUUCCGCAAUGGGCGAAAGUGUGACGGAGCCACGCCGCGUGAGCGAAGAAGGCCUUCGGGUCGUAAAGCUCUGUUGUCAGGGAAGAACAAGUACCGGAGUAACUGCCGGUACCUUGACGGUACCUGACCAGAAAGCCACGGCUAACUACGUGCCAGCCGCCGCCGUAACAC
rnacentral:rRNA from 1 species